ensembl:lncRNA
CCAAGCUGCUUCUCGAGUCACUCCAGAAGCUGACAUGACGCUUCAAGUUCACACUUCAACGCGUCGCAGUCCGCUGGAAGUAAGUCAGUAAGUAAGUAAGUAGGCUUCGGUCACUUGACACAUCAAUAUUUCCCGGUUAAUAUUUAACUAUGAUGACUUAAAUGUUAAUAAUUUUCGAAACGGAAAGAGACUUUGAAAGUGUGCAGAGACCUUGUCCUCCUCGCUGUCCGCAUCUGUUUCUCAAACAAAGCGGUUUGUUAUUUCACAACUAUUUAACUAACCUUACAUAUUUAACUAGCCUAACUAUUUAACUAAUUUUAACUAUUUAAAGAUGCCUUCAAAAACACCAAAACAAAACAUCUAGAUUUAUUUAUUUUUAAAAUACGCCUACAGCUGCAGGUCGGUUAGCCUACUCGAUAUCCAUUUUUACCAGGCUACCUACUAAACUACACUCUUAUAUGGUUUUGUGAGUAUAUAUAUGAAUAUUAUGUAUAUUGCAUUAUGCCGAGACUGGAGUAAAGUAACUGGGAGACGUUGCGCAGCAGAGAGGAAUGCAUUGUCUCUUCUACUAGUUAGCCAGGUCCUCAGCUCAGCCAUAAACGGUUUUGGUUUCUAUGGUUACUGGGCAGCAUGAACCCCGCCCUCCCGGGUCUGAAACCGGUCCAAUUGUCCUCAGUAGACAGUAGUAGGACAUAGUAUCCAUGGCUGCUGUGCCUGGAGAUGUUUAUAUUUCUACAGCAUGGCGGAGGAGAGCUAUACAGGAUCAGGGGAUGCAGAUGAUACAGAUGAGCUUCUCUAUACUGAUGGGGAGGACAACAGAAGCAUGUUGGACCUGAAUCCUCUUCCGCUGAGACUUGACCCCUGUGACCUGCUGAUGGACUCGAUAGAUGUUCAACUGAGUCGACUUCAGGUGCAGAAUCAGAAAAACCAGGAGAGUUCAGGAGGUCUCAGUGGCUGUGAUGAAGCUCCUUUCAGGCGGCAGUGCUCAGGGAGCAGAGACACCGGCCUUGGAACACCAACCACCAGCCCCCCGAUAUCCUGUCUGCAGCCUGGGCCCCGCGAGGCCAAGGGACCGGCCCCAGGAAAGACGAGGCCGGACGUCUCUCAGGGAGCCCCCCCAUGCCCCCUCCAGAGGGGAGCGCAGCCUGGACGGGCCUGUAGGAGCAGGGAGCAGGAGGAGGCGGAGGAAGGGGCGGAGUCCCGCAGAGAGCAGUGCCUUUGGAGGCUGGGCCGCCUGCUAGGGGACCCCUUUGUUGCUUCAGGAGUAGGAAGGACUCCUGCUCCUCCUCCUCUACAGCCGGACAGCUUCUGCACCGAGGACCUCCUCCGUUGCUCCCCAGAGGAGAGUGUGGAGGGGGAGGAGGGCUGGUGGGCAGGAGGCCCCUCCCAGGGGGUCCGGGAGCAGGGAGACGUGGUGGACGUGACUCGGGGCGGACCAACAGGGUUCCUCGUGGAGGGCGGUAGGGGUGCACGUGUUCUUCGUCAUCCUCCUCUUCCUCAGCCACAGCCACCCCAGACCCACAGCCGGGACAACAUGUUGUGUUCUGAGGAACGCCACUCUUGUGAUGUUCAUCGGACGGAAGAAAGACAAGGAAGCGGAGAAACUAAAGCCGGGCAGAGACAGCGAGGUUCCCAGAAGACCUGCGAUUACAUCAGCAGCCGGUCCGGACUGUCGACUCCAGACACCCAGGCCCCGGUCCCACCAUGCAGCCACAAGGCUGCCCACCCUGAGAGCAGAGGACGGCGGAACAAGGGGCCUUGUCCUGAGCCCAGAGGUCUGGCAGGUGGAGCGAUGUGGGGGUCUGACUCCGUCUGCCCUCCGCCAUUCCCUCAGACCCUCUGCAGCAGGACAGGAUGGCCGUCGUUCAUGCCAUCCAUUCAGAACACGGAGGGCUACUGCAGCGACCGGAGUGAUGACCACACACCCACACCAGCUCCCGGAAAAGGAGGUGACGGAGGUUCAGCUUUCCGCCAAGCAAGGCAGACUAGGAGAGCCACCCCCAGGUACGGGCGCUCUACGGGUGGGGAUGAGGGUGAUGAGGACACAGACGAAGGGCACUGCAGCCGCAGGAGUAAGAACCAGAUGACCCUAGAAGUCCAGUUGGAGAAGAUGAAAUGCGAUGGGUCCAGGAUGGAGGAUGUUCUCAGGACUCUCCGCCAUAAGUGUGAAACAGAGGAGGGGAAACUGGAGCUGAGAAGAGAAGCGCUGCGUGAGUCAGAGUCUUCCAUCUCUGACGCUCAGCAGAAAACAAAGCAUGCUUUGCAGGAGCUGGCCCAGAUUUGUACCGAGACAGCACAGAUGGAGUUGGAGGGACAGAAACUGGACACCCGUCUGAGGGAAAGAAAGCCCAGUCUUCAGCUGUGUAGCCUGAGGAGCGAGUCCUGUCUCCAGCCAAUCGGGGACAUGGAGGAGGAGCCUGGAAAUCUGCGCAGAAUGACCCAAGAUGGCUGCCACGCUGAGACGAAAGCGCCGGGUUUGGUGGUGUCCAUCUUGGAGAGGCUGGAGACGGAGCGGCAGCUGGACUCCACCAAAACCCAACUGUUUGCAGAGAAGCGACGCUCUCGGGACAAGCUGGACUCCAUGCAGGAGCGGUUGGAUGAGGCUGAGGAAGAGCUCCAGAGGGCCAGAGAGGAGCAGGGCCUGCUGAGGUCCAGGAUUGAGGCUCUAGAGGAGGAACAGAGGCAGAAACAGGAGCUUGUGGUGGCUCUGCAGCGGGGGUCCGGGGGGCUGCGGGGCCAGCUGGUUGAGUGUAAGGAGAGGCUGGGCUCCCUGGAGAAGAUUGUAGCCCAAAAGGACCUUCAGAUAAUUUGCGCCCAGGAAGUGCAGGAGGCUCUGCGUGCUGCCAGAAACAGCCUACAGGGGGAGCUCCAAACAAUGACACUCCAGCACUGCAAGGUAGGCAAGAUGGUGGCAGAAGAGAAAGACCUCGCUUUGAGGGAACAGGCUGAGGUGUUCACACGGCAGCUGGAGUCUGCUCAAACCUCCCUGAAGCUGAGCGAGGACGUGGCCAGGGGGCUGAGGGGGGCUCUGCACCAGCAGGAAGAGACUGGGAAGAAACGGGAAGAGCAGAUGCAUGAUGAAGCCAAAGAAAAGGUCCGGAAGGCUUCAGAGGUGGAGAAGGAGAACAUGGCUGCCCUGCAGCAGCUGCAGGAGAGGAACCAGGAAGCGCUGGAGGGAGCUAGGCGUAACCUUGAGGAGGAGAGGAAGAACUCUCAGGCUCUUCAGAAACGCGCGGCCGAGCUGCAGACUAAGGUAGAGGAGCUGGAGGGAGCGUUCUGUUUUCAGAAGAGAGAGCAGGACGCGGCGCUAGCCAUGCUACACAGCUCGCUAACGGAGGAGCGCCGUGCCGAGCUAAAGCGACAACGCAGACACAUGGAGCAGGAGCUUGCUGUGAGGCUGCGAAGGCUGGAGGAGACAGGCCAGCUGGCGCAGAGGGAGGCAGAGCGACUGCGCCGGGAGAUGGGUGAGAGGGAGGAGAGCCACCAGAGGACCACAGCCAUGCUGGAGCAGCAGCUGAGACAGGUCACCCAGGGGCUGGUGGCCGAGGGCCAGCAGCUCUGCCUCCUGGUGGACCAGGGAGGAUCCAGAGGAGAGCCCACGCAGCUCCCUCAGAGUCCUACUGCAGCCCAGGCCUGCCAGUACCUGCACGAUCUGAGGGUGCAGUUGCAGAACUUCAUCCACCAUCUUCUCCAGGAGCUGCAGUCUCAGAAACAGAACGCUUCCAGACUGAAGCACGCCCAGGAGCAGGAGUUGUGUAUCCAGAGGGAGAAGAUGGAGAUGGAGAAACAGCAGGCCUUGCAUUCCCUGAAGGAGCGUCUCAUUCAGGAGCACGUGGAGGAGUUGAGCAGCGUGAGGCGGGGGCCCGGGGCCUCCCUACGAAGGCAACGGCAGGCCACAGACCAGGAAGUGAGGCAGGUCCAGAGCAGCAGGGGCCGGUUGAAGAGCCUGACCGGGUCUGAGGAGAAGCUCCCAGCUGAGGGGGAGAGACGGAUCGGUAGGAGCCAAGAGAGGAAGCCCAGGAGGCCUGAUGGAGCGACGAGCCUGGCGGGCGAGGCGUCGGGCGACUCUGGGGGACAUCGGCUGGUGGCAGACCCCUCCUGCCACGCACCCGGGUCUCCCCCCCGCCCAGCCUCUGACCCCGCCUCCCUGAGGAUCCUUCACCACCUCCGGAGCCGGAUCCGAGAGCUCCGCGCCGAGGGCCAGAGCGGCCCCUCCCCCGCUCCGCCCAGGCAGGGCAGCGACCUUUUGGGGUCCUACCUAGAGACGGUACGGCCCCCGGUGGAGAGGACUCGGACCGCCUGUCCCUUAGUAAGCUGAGGGCUUACUAGUCUGACAUUCAGUUUACUAUCCUGUGAUGAGACAUUGGUAUCUUUUUUUUUGACCUUAUUAAAGAAAAUGUGUGAAACAUUGCAAAAGACAUCACAUUCACGUUAAAUGGACGACUAUUAGCCAUAUUAGGAUUUAUGAGUUCAUAGCGCAGAGGGAUGAGCCGCUCAUUUGGGGACUGAAAGGUUGCUGGUUCAUUUGGAGCAACCAUCUUUGAUUCUCUGAGGAAGAGUUGGUUGCGUCGAACUUGAAGGGCAAUGGCCGCAUAAGGUGUUCAGAUGUAAACCGUCAGCUCAGCAGUACGUUGACUAGGAACCGA